GGUUAAGCGACUAAGCGUACACGGUGGAUGCCCUGGCAGUCAGAGGCGAUGAAGGACGUGCUAAUCUGCGAUAAGCGUCGGUAAGGUGAUAUGAACCGUUAUAACCGGCGAUUUCCGAAUGGGGAAACCCAGUGUGAUUCGUCACACUAUCAUUAACUGAAUCCAUAGGUUAAUGAGGCGAACCGGGGGAACUGAAACAUCUAAGUACCCCGAGGAAAAGAAAUCAACCGAGAUUCCCCCAGUAGCGGCGAGCGAACGGGGAGGAGCCCAGAGCCUGAAUCAGUGUGUGUGUUAGUGGAAGCGUCUGGAAAGGCGCGCGAUACAGGGUGACAGCCCCGUACACAAAAAUGCACAUGCUGUGAGCUCGAUGAGUAGGGCGGGACACGUGGUAUCCUGUCUGAAUAUGGGGGGACCAUCCUCCAAGGCUAAAUACUCCUGACUGACCGAUAGUGAACCAGUACCGUGAGGGAAAGGCGAAAAGAACCCCGGCGAGGGGAGUGAAAAAGAACCUGAAACCGUGUACGUACAAGCAGUGGGAGCACAGAGCAAUCUGUGUGACUGCGUACCUUUUGUAUAAUGGGUCAGCGACUUAUAUUCUGUAGCAAGGUUAACCGAAUAGGGGAGCCGAAGGGAAACCGAGUCUUAACUGGGCGUUAAGUUGCAGGGUAUAGACCCGAAACCCGGUGAUCUAGCCAUGGGCAGGUUGAAGGUUGGGUAACACUAACUGGAGGACCGAACCGACUAAUGUUGAAAAAUUAGCGGAUGACUUGUGGCUGGGGGUGAAAGGCCAAUCAAACCGGGAGAUAGCUGGUUCUCCCCGAAAGCUAUUUAGGUAGCGCCUCGUGAAUUCAUCUCCGGGGGUAGAGCACUGUUUCGGCAAGGGGGUCAUCCCGACUUACCAACCCGAUGCAAACUGCGAAUACCGGAGAAUGUUAUCACGGGAGACACACGGCGGGUGCUAACGUCCGUCGUGAAGAGGGAAACAACCCAGACCGCCAGCUAAGGUCCCAAAGUCAUGGUUAAGUGGGAAACGAUGUGGGAAGGCCCAGACAGCCAGGAUGUUGGCUUAGAAGCAGCCAUCAUUUAAAGAAAGCGUAAUAGCUCACUGGUCGAGUCGGCCUGCGCGGAAGAUGUAACGGGGCUAAACCAUG
rnacentral:rRNA from 1 species